rnacentral:rRNA from 1 species
UAAUACGUAGGUGGCAAGCGUUGUCCGGAAUUAUUGGGCGUAAAGCGCGCGCAGGCGGUCUUUUAAGUCUGAUGUGAAAGCCCACGGCUCAACCGUGGAGGGUCAUUGGAAACUGGAAGACUUGAGUGCAGAAGAGGAGAGUGGAAUUCCACGUGUAGCGGUGAAAUGCGUAGAUAUAUGGAGGAACACCAGUGGCGAAGGCGGCUCUCUGGUCUGUAACUGACGCUGAGGCGCGAAAGCGUGGGGAGCAAACAGGAUUAGAUACCCUGGUAGUCCACGCCGUAAACGAUGAGUGCUAAGUGUUAGAGGGUUUCCGCCCUUUAGUGCUGCAGCUAACGCAUUAAGCACUCCGCCUGGGGAGUACGACCGCAAGGUUGAA